UACGAAGGGGGCUAGCGUUGUUCGGAAUUACUGGGCGUAAAGCGCGCGCAGGCGGUCUUCCAAGUCAGGGGGGAAAGCCCGGAGCUCAACUCCGGAACUGCCAUUGAAACUGUAAGACUUGAGGAUGAGAGAGGUGAGUGGAAUUCCCAGUGUAGAGGUGAAAUUCGUAGAUAUUGGGAAGAACACCGGUGGCGAAGGCGGCUCCCUGGCUCAUUACUGACGCUCAGGCGCGACAGCGUGGGGAUCAAACAGG
rnacentral:rRNA from 1 species